GGUUAAGCGACUAAGCGUACACGGUGGAUGCCCUGGCAGUCAGAGGCGAUGAAGGACGUGCUAAUCUGCGAUAAGCGUCGGUAAGGUGAUAUGAACCGUUAUAACCGGCGAUUUCCGAAUGGGGAAACCCAGUGUGAUUCGUCACACUAUCAUUAACUGAAUCCAUAGGUUAAUGAGGCGAACCGGGGGAACUGAAACAUCUAAGUACCCCGAGGAAAAGAAAUCAACCGAGAUUCCCCCAGUAGCGGCGAGCGAACGGGGAGCAGCCCAGAGCCUGAAUCAGUGUGUGUGUUAGUGGAAGCGUCUGGAAAGGCGCGCGAUACAGGGUGACAGCCCCGUACACAAAAAUGCACAUGCUGUGAGCUCGAUGAGUAGGGCGGGACACGUGGUAUCCUGUCUGAAUAUGGGGGGACCAUCCUCCAAGGCUAAAUACUCCUGACUGACCGAUAGUGAACCAGUACCGUGAGGGAAAGGCGAAAAGAACCCCGGCGAGGGGAGUGAAAAAGAACCUGAAACCGUGUACGUACAAGCAGUGGGAGCACGCUUAGGCGUGUGACUGCGUACCUUUUGUAUAAUGGGUCAGCGACUUAUAUUCUGUAGCAAGGUUAACCGAAUAGGGGAGCCGAAGGGAAACCGAGUCUUAACUGGGCGUUAAGUUGCAGGGUAUAGACCCGAAACCCGGUGAUCUAGCCAUGGGCAGGUUGAAGGUUGGGUAACACUAACUGGAGGACCGAACCGACUAAUGUUGAAAAAUUAGCGGAUGACUUGUGGCUGGGGGUGAAAGGCCAAUCAAACCGGGAGAUAGCUGGUUCUCCCCGAAAGCUAUUUAGGUAGCGCCUCGUGAAUUCAUCUCCGGGGGUAGAGCACUGUUUCGGCAAGGGGGUCAUCCCGACUUACCAACCCGAUGCAAACUGCGAAUACCGGAGAAUGUUAUCACGGGAGACACACGGCGGGUGCUAACGUCCGUCGUGAAGAGGGAAACAACCCAGACCGCCAGCUAAGGUCCCAAAGUCAUGGUUAAGUGGGAAACGAUGUGGGAAGGCCCAGACAGCCAGGAUGUUGGCUUAGAAGCAGCCAUCAUUUAAAGAAAGCGUAAUAGCUCACUGGUCGAGUCGGCCUGCGCGGAAGAUGUAACGGGGCUAAACCAUGCACCGAAGCUGCGGCAGCGACACUAUGUGUUGUUGGGUAGGGGAGCGUUCUGUAAGCCUGUGAAGGUGUACUGUGAGGUAUGCUGGAGGUAUCAGAAGUGCGAAUGCUGACAUAAGUAACGAUAAAGCGGGUGAAAAGCCCGCUCGCCGGAAGACCAAGGGUUCCUGUCCAACGUUAAUCGGGGCAGGGUGAGUCGACCCCUAAGGCGAGGCCGAAAGGCGUAGUCGAUGGGAAACAGGUUAAUAUUCCUGUACUUGGUGUUACUGCGAAGGGGGGACGGAGAAGGCUAUGUUGGCCGGGCGACGGUUGUCCCGGUUUAAGCGUGUAGGCUGGUUUUCCAGGCAAAUCCGGAAAAUCAAGGCUGAGGCGUGAUGACGAGGCACUACGGUGCUGAAGCAACAAAUGCCCUGCUUCCAGGAAAAGCCUCUAAGCAUCAGGUAACAUCAAAUCGUACCCCAAACCGACACAGGUGGUCAGGUAGAGAAUACCAAGGCGCUUGAGAGAACUCGGGUGAAGGAACUAGGCAAAAUGGUGCCGUAACUUCGGGAGAAGGCACGCUGAUAUGUAGGUGAAGUCCCUCGCGGAUGGAGCUGAAAUCAGUCGAAGAUACCAGCUGGCUGCAACUGUUUAUUAAAAACACAGCACUGUGCAAACACGAAAGUGGACGUAUACGGUGUGACGCCUGCCCGGUGCCGGAAGGUUAAUUGAUGGGGUCAGCGCAAGCGAAGCUCUUGAUCGAAGCCCCGGUAAACGGCGGCCGUAACUAUAACGGUCCUAAGGUAGCGAAAUUCCUUGUCGGGUAAGUUCCGACCUGCACGAAUGGCGUAAUGAUGGCCAGGCUGUCUCCACCCGAGACUCAGUGAAAUUGAACUCGCUGUGAAGAUGCAGUGUACCCGCGGCAAGACGGAAAGACCCCGUGAACCUUUACUAUAGCUUGACACUGAACAUUGAGCCUUGAUGUGUAGGAUAGGUGGGAGGCUUUGAAGUGUGGACGCCAGUCUGCAUGGAGCCGACCUUGAAAUACCACCCUUUAAUGUUUGAUGUUCUAACGUGGACCCGUAAUCCGGGUUGCGGACAGUGUCUGGUGGGUAGUUUGACUGGGGCGGUCUCCUCCUAAAGAGUAACGGAGGAGCACGAAGGUUGGCUAAUCCUGGUCGGACAUCAGGAGGUUAGUGCAAUGGCAUAAGCCAGCUUGACUGCGAGCGUGACGGCGCGAGCAGGUGCGAAAGCAGGUCAUAGUGAUCCGGUGGUUCUGAAUGGAAGGGCCAUCGCUCAACGGAUAAAAGGUACUCCGGGGAUAACAGGCUGAUACCGCCCAAGAGUUCAUAUCGACGGCGGUGUUUGGCACCUCGAUGUCGGCUCAUCACAUCCUGGGGCUGAAGUAGGUCCCAAGGGUAUGGCUGUUCGCCAUUUAAAGUGGUACGCGAGCUGGGUUUAGAACGUCGUGAGACAGUUCGGUCCCUAUCUGCCGUG
rnacentral:rRNA from 1 species